AAAUUGAAGAGUUUGAUCAUGGCUCAGAUUGAACGCUGGCGGCAGGCCUAACACAUGCAAGUCGAGCGGUAGCACAGAGAGCUUGCUCUCGGGUGACGAGCGGCGGACGGGUGAGUAAUGUCUGGGAAACUGCCUGAUGGAGGGGGAUAACUACUGGAAACGGUAGCUAAUACCGCAUAACGUCGCAAGACCAAAGUGGGGGACCUUCGGGCCUCAUGCCAUCAGAUGUGCCCAGAUGGGAUUAGCUAGUAGGUGGGGUAACGGCUCACCUAGGCGACGAUCCCUAGCUGGUCUGAGAGGAUGACCAGCCACACUGGAACUGAGACACGGUCCAGACUCCUACGGGAGGCAGCAGUGGGGAAUAUUGCACAAUGGGCGCAAGCCUGAUGCAGCCAUGCCGCGUGUGUGAAGAAGGCCUUCGGGUUGUAAAGCACUUUCAGCGGGGAGGAAGGCGUUAAGGUUAAUAACCUUGGCGAUUGACGUUACCCGCAGAAGAAGCACCGGCUAACUCCGUGCCAGCAGCCGCGGUAAUACGGAGGGUGCAAGCGUUAAUCGGAAUUACUGGGCGUAAAGCGCACGCAGGCGGUCUGUCAAGUCGGAUGUGAAAUCCCCGGGCUUAACCUGGGAACUGCAUUCGAAACUGGCAGGCUAGAGUCUUGUAGAGGGGGGUAGAAUUCCAGGUGUAGCGGUGAAAUGCGUAGAGAUCUGGAGGAAUACCGGUGGCGAAGGCGGCCCCCUGGACAAAGACUGACGCUCAGGUGCGAAAGCGUGGGGAGCAAACAGGAUUAGAUACCCUGGUAGUCCACGCCGUAAACGAUGUCGAUUUGGAGGUUGUGCCCUUGAGGCGUGGCUUCCGGAGCUAACGCGUUAAAUCGACCGCCUGGGGAGUACGGCCGCAAGGUUAAAACUCAAAUGAAUUGACGGGGGCCCGCACAAGCGGUGGAGCAUGUGGUUUAAUUCGAUGCAACGCGAAGAACCUUACCUGGUCUUGACAUCCACAGAACUUUCCAGAGAUGGAUUGGUGCCUUCGGGAACUGUGAGACAGGUGCUGCAUGGCUGUCGUCAGCUCGUGUUGUGAAAUGUUGGGUUAAGUCCCGCAACGAGCGCAACCCUUAUCCUUUGUUGCCAGCGGUCCGGCCGGGAACUCAAAGGAGACUGCCAGUGAUAAACUGGAGGAAGGUGGGGAUGACGUCAAGUCAUCAUGGCCCUUACGACCAGGGCUACACACGUGCUACAAUGGCAUAUACAAAGAGAAGCGACCUCGCGAGAGCAAGCGGACCUCAUAAAGUAUGUCGUAGUCCGGAUUGGAGUCUGCAACUCGACUCCAUGAAGUCGGAAUCGCUAGUAAUCGUAGAUCAGAAUGCUACGGUGAAUACGUUCCCGGGCCUUGUACACACCGCCCGUCACACCAUGGGAGUGGGUUGCAAAAGAAGUAGGUAGCUUAACCUUCGGGAGGGCGCUUACCACUUUGUGAUUCAUGACUGGGGUGAAGUCGUAACAAGGUAACCGUAGGGGAACCUGCGGUUGGAUCACCUCCUUA
rnacentral:rRNA from 1 species